rnacentral:rRNA from 1 species
GGUACGUAGUAUUAAGAGUUUUCUAACUCCCAAACCCAUGUGAACAUACCUUAUGUUGCCUCGGCAGGUCGAGCCUACCCUGUAAGAUCUUACCCUGUAAGAUCCUACCCUGUAGCACCCGGACGCGGGUAGACCUGCCGGCGGCCCACGAAACUCUGUUUAGCAUUUGAAUCUCUGAGAAUACAACUAAAUAAGUUAAAAACUUUCAACAACGGAUCUCUUGGUUCUGGCAUCGAUGAAGAACGCAGCGAAAUGCGAUAAGUAAUGUGAAUUGCAGAAUUCAGUGAAUCAUCGAAUCUUUGAACGCACAUUGCGCCCAUUAGUAUUCUAGUGGGCAUGCCUGUUCGAGCGUCAUUUCAACCCUUAAGCCUCUGUUGCUUAGCGUUGGGAGCCUACAGCUGCUGUAGCUCCUCAAAUUUAGUGGCGGAGUCGGUUCACACUCUAGACGUAGUAAUUUCUUUGUUCUCGCCUACGAGUUAUACCGGUCCCCUGCCGUUAACCCCCCUUAAUUUUCUAAAGGUUGACCUCGGAUCAGGUAGGAAUACCCGCUGAACUUAAGCAUAUCAAUAAGCCGGAGGAGAA